UAGGGAAUCUUCGGCAAUGGACGAAAGUCUGACCGAGCAACGCCGCGUGAGUGAAGAAGGUUUUCGGAUCGUAAAACUCUGUUGUUAGAGAAGAACAAGGACGUUAGUAACUGAACGUCCCCUGACGGUAUCUAACCAGAAAGCCACGGCUAACUACGUGCCAGCAGCCGCGGUAAUACGUAGGUGGCAAGCGUUGUCCGGAUUUAUUGGGCGUAAAGCGAGCGCAGGCGGUUUCUUAAGUCUGAUGUGAAAGCCCCCGGCUCAACCGGGGAGGGUCAUUGGACACUGGGAGACUUGAGUGCAGAAGAGGAGAGUGGAAUUCCAUGUGUAGCGGUGCAAUGCAUAGUUAUAUGGAGGAACACCAGUGGCGAAGGCGGCUCUCUGGUCUGUAACUGACGCUGAGGCUCGAAAGCGUGGGGAGCAAACAGG
rnacentral:rRNA from 1 species